AGAUCUCCAGCUGCGUGCUGGGAGAACCAGUGCUCUCUUCAAAGCUGUCAGACAGGGACAUUUAAGUCUGCACAGGUUACUGCUGUCUUUUUGUUUGUCUGUGCCCUGCCCCCAGAGGUGGAGCCUACAGAGGCAGGCAGGCCUCCUUGAGCUGUGGUGGGCUCCGCCCAGUUCGAGCUUCCCGGCUGCUUUGUUUACCUAAGUAAGCCUGGGCAAUGGCGGGCGCCCCUCCCCCAGCCUCGCUGCCGCCUUGCAGUUUGAUCUCAGACUGCUGUGCUAGCAAUCAGCGAGACUCCGUGGGCGUAGGACCCUCCGAGCCAGGUGCCGGAUAUAAUCUCGUGGUGCGCUGUUUUUUUUUGUUUUGUUUUUUUUUUUGUUUGUUUUUUUUUGAGACGGAGUCUCGCUCUGUCGCCCAGGCCGGACUGCGGACUGCAGUGGCGCAAUCUCGGCUCACUGCAAGCUCCGCUUCCCGGGUUCACGCCAUUCUCCUGCCUCAGCCUCCCGAGUAGCUGGGACUACAGGCGGUGCGCCGUUUUUUAAGCCCGUCGGAAAAGCGCAGUAUUCGGGUGGGAGUGACCCGAUUUUCCAGGUGCCGUCCGUCACCCCUUUCUUUGACUCGGAAAGGGAACUCCCUGACCCCUUGCGCUUCCCGAGUGAGGCAGUGCCUCGCCCUGCUUCGGCUCGCACACGGUGCGCGCACCCACUGACCUGCGCCCGCUCUCUGGCACUCCCUAGUGAGAUGAACCCGGUACCUCAGAUGGAAAUGCAGAAAUCACCGUCUUCUGCGUCGCUCACGCUGGGAGCUGUAGACCGGAGCUGUUCCUAUUCGGCCAUCUUGGCUCCUCCAGGCCAAUUUACUUUCAAAAAUACCUGCAUCCAGGAACUCUCAUGCUAGCAGGAUGAGGUAAUGACUAUUUCCCAUACUCGUGUCAACUUUGAGCAAUGCUAGGAAUUUCCAUAUGUCCAAACAACUGUUUAUCAGGAAAUGCAACAAGGUACUUUUGACACUGAGCGUGAAAGGAACUCAUUGAACCAAAAUCUUCCAAAAAGACUGGAACAUAAGAGAGCGGAUGAAGAGCAUAAUAGAAGAGAAGUGCCAGGGAGGAGGAUUAUCUUAGGCAGAGCACACUGAGGAUGGAGAGUUACCAGCCCUCCCGAGCUGUCGUUGGCACUGAACCAAUGAGAGCCAUUCAUGUGCCUGUCUGUGCCUUGUGUUUUUCUUCUUCAACAUAUACUUUAGAACAUCCAUUCUGUGCAAAGCUCUGUGCCCACAGCUGUUGAGAUGCCAGAUGCAUGCUGUUCCCUGCCCUGAAGACCCCAGCAGUCAGGCCAGGGAGAGAAGACAUUCUUAGACAACCCAACAGUCGUCCCUGGGGAAAGGUCUGCUGGAGUUUGCUGGAGGUCCACUUCAGAUCCUGUUUGCCUGGGCAUCACCAGUGGAAGCUGCAGAACAGCAAAGAUUGCUGCCUGUUCUUUCCUUUGGAAGCUUUGUCCCAGAGGGGCACCUGCCAGAUGCCAGCCAGAACUCUCCUGUAUGAGGUGUCUAUCGGCCCCUAUUGGGAGGUGUCUUCCAGUCAGGAUACACAGGGGUAAGGGACCCACUUGAAAAGGCAGUCUGUCCCUUAGCAGAACCCGAGCGCUGAGCUGGGAGAUCCACUGCUGUCUUCAGAGCCAGCAGGCAGGAAAGUUUGUCUGCUGAAGCUGCUCCCACAGCCACCCCUUCCCCCAGGUGCUCUGUCCCAGGGAGAUGGGAGUUUUAUCUAUAAGCCCCUGACUGGGGCUGCUGCCUUUUUUUCAGAGAUGCCCUGCCCAGAGACGAGGAAUCUAGAGAGGCAGUCUGCCUACAGCGGCUUUGCCGAGCUGCAGUGGGCUCCACCCAGUUUGAAAUUCCUGGUGGCUUUGUUUACAAUGUGAGGGGAAAAAUGUCUACUCAAGCCUCAGUAAUGGUGGACACCCCUCCUCCCACCAAGCUUGAGUGUCCCAGGUCAACUUUAGACUGCUGUGCUGGCAGCGAGAAUUUCAAGCCAGUGGAUCUUAGCUUGCUGGGCUCCGUGGGGGUGGGACCUGCUGAGCUAGACCACUUGGCUCUCUGGCUUCAGCCCCUUUCCAGGGGAGUGAAUUGUUCUUUCUCGUUAGUGUUCCAGGCACCAUUGGGGUAUGAAAAAAAAAAAAACAACAGCAAAUUACAGCUAGCUCAAUGUCUGCCCAAAUGGCCACCCAGUUUUGUGCUUGAAACCCAGGGCCCUGGUGGUGUAGGCACCCAAGGGAAUCUCCUGGUUUGCAGGUUUCGAAGACCAUGGGAAAAGCAUAGUAUCUGGGCCAGAAUGCACCAUUCCUCAAGGCACUGUCUCUCAUGGCUUCCCUUGGCUAGGCGAGGGAGUUCCUUGACCUCUUGUGCUUCUUGGAUGAGGUGAUGCCCCACCCUGCUUCAGCUCGCCUUCUGUGGGCUGCACCUGCUGUCUAACCAGUCCCAAUGAGAUGAGCCAGGUACCUUGGCUGGAAAUGCAGAAAUCACACACCUUCUGUGUUGAUCUUGCUGGGAGCUGCAGACUGGAGCUGUUCCUAUUCGGCCAUCUUGCCAACCCCAUCUCCUUUAACAUUUUUGUAGCGUAGGUUCUGCUGGUGAUAGCCUCUCAGUUUUUUUGUCUAUGUUAAAAAAAGUCUUUAUUCUCUUUGUAUUUUUGAAAAAUAUUUUCACUAGAUUUAGAGUUCUAGUCUGACAGAUUUUUCUUUCAGAUCUUUGAAGAUGCCAUUCGUUUGUCUUCUGAUUUGUAUGAUCUCUGACAAAAAGUCUGCUUAAUUAAUUAUCUAUUUAUUUAUUUUAGAGAAGAGGGUCUUGCUAUGUAGCCCAGGCUGAAAUGCCAUUGACUAUUCACAGGUGCAAUACUACUGCUGAUCAGCAUGGGAUUUUGACCUGCUCAUUUCCAACCUGGGCCAGUUCGUUCCUCCUUAGGCAACCUAGUAGUCUCCCAUUGCCAGAAGGUCACCAUACUGAUGCUGAACUUAGUGCAGAAACCUGAUGGGCAUAGUGCACAACAGCCCAGAACUCCUGGACUCAAGCAAUCUCCUGCCUCAUAUUUGGGACUACAUGCCUGCACUACCAUGCCUGCCUCUGUUUCAAUUUUUAUCUUUGUUCCAUUGUAUAUAAUGUAUCUUUUUUCUUUGGCUGCUUUUAAACUUGUCUCUUUUUCAUUGUUUUUCAGCAGUUUGAUUGAUGGGUUUGGUGUGGUUUUUCACAAUUACUUCUUGAUUGGGGUUUGUGCUUCUUGGUUCUGUGGAUUUAUAGUUUUCCUCAAAUUUGGGUAAAUUUCAGCCGUUCGUUUUUCAGAUGUUUGUUCUGACUCUCCUUCUCUCUUUGGGGCUCCAAUUAUAUAUGCAUUAGACAAUGUGAUAUUUUAUGGGUCACUGAGGCUUUGUUCUCUCUCUCUCAGCAGCAAUCUCACCCUUCUCUAGCUUUUUCCCCAUUUUCUUGCACACAGGUGUUUCUCCUAAUAAAAUCUUUGCACACUUAA